GAAGAACAAGCCCAGACACGUUUCUUCACGGAGCCUAAGGAAAACACUUUACCGAACUCAUAUGGGAUGGCCCUGUAAGUUGUGCAGCACUGAAUGACAUUUUAAAGCAUUACAGACUGCACCAUGGGACCUUUGGACACAGCAAUUCCUUGCCUUGCAUUCAUAUUAAUGAAGUGUCCGAAGGUGCACUGCUGUUCCACUGGAAUCAACAUUUAUGUCCCAACUGGACAGGUACACGCCAAAACUCCUGGAGCUCUUCAGUGCAAAAGGAGGAGUGACUGCAGCGCAUCAAGAACUUGUUGAUGGAACUGAUACAGGACCCAAGUGCCUCUGCAGUGAAGAAGAGAGAUGUGACUGUGAGAUGCCUCAUAGAGUACAUGGUAGAGAGUGGACAGGAGCUAAUCUCUGACUACUGGAACUGCAGAGACCACUGUUCAUGAGGACCUGGAAAUGAAGAAUAUGAGCAUCUACAUCUGUCGUGAGCCAAAUGCAGUAGGAAUCAUCAUUGAGGGAGUACCAGUCCUUACUCGUCUUGGAAACCUGGCCAAAGCAUGCUGCCUACUUCUGGGGUUGACGUAUGCACUUAAUCUUGAGUAUCCAUCCAAACUUUCCAAAACAUUUGAGGUGUUUCAAAGACUUUUUGUGGGACUUGACACACUGCGCCCAAAACCAACCCCCAAAUUCAUGACUCUCAAAAACAAGCUUCUAGCUUAGGCACUGAGCCAUGACUGUCAGCUUGCACUUUUGAACAGCUAUUUUCUUGUGUCUGUUCAAAAUCAUUAUACAUUGUUCAUUGAGUGGAAUUCUUCAGAAUGUUGUAACGGUUUGUCCUGUUCAGGUUUUUUACAAAGCUCCAGGUCAUCGUUUCUGGUGUGUAAAUUAAGUUUUUUUAUGUUUUAUACACACUAAAUUGCCCCACUGUGAAGCUCCAGCUGGUCAGAAGGAGGGAUC